GGAGAAGUGGGUGAGUGGCUGAAACCACACCCCUGCUAAGGGUGCAUACCGCAAGGUAUCGAGGGUUCAAAUCCCUCCUUCUCCGCCA
rnacentral:tRNA from 1 species